GGUGCAUGCAGCCCUGGUUUGUGCAGUGUUCCACAUGAUUCUCUAUGGAUUUGAUGUGGGAGAACGUUUAACCCAGGGGCUGCCCUAUGUGUAUCCUCUUGGACCUAUAGUGGCUGAAUGUCCUUUUUGAGAUCCUGCAGCUGUUGACCCUGAGUGGGAGAAUGCCUUAUCCAGGUGUAGUCUUGUGCACACCUUUCCAGACCCAUAGCAGUGGUUUGGUUGCAGAGCUGUGAUUAUAUGGACAUUCUCCACACUUGGUAUACAGCAGUUCAGACAUGCAGCCCCAUUGGAAUGUGCUGAUAGAG